GAUGAUUUCGGCUAGCUAUCUUUUUUUUCUUCUCUCUCGAUUUCAACAUAAAAUUGGGCAAGUGCUCAAAGUAAAUUAGGGCAGAGCAAAGCAAAGCGAGUAGCUCCUCUCAGUACAAGUCCAGGUAUUCUUCGAUUUCUUACUGUUCCAUGAUCUUUUGCGAAAGUUAUAUAGUUUUUGAAUUCCUGAAACCCUAAUUUUCUGUCUCCCCAACUCAGAAGAUCUCAUGUCUGGCUUCGAGGGAUUUGAUUCACCCUUAAGUUUUUUUUUAAUCUGUUGCUUCUACCAGUAACCCUUCCCCCCCUGUCCUGGUGUGUACUAGUUGUGAUUCCCUAACUUGUUGUUUCCCUAGACAGAAUCCUCAGUCUCGAGAGUGGGCCGAGGCCGAAUAUGCCAGAUUGCUCAGCUAUUUUCCUAGGCUCAUUGGCGACCUUAGCAUUGCCGGGAGCUGGACACAAGCAAGCUGUACUCGAUCUGCUUACUCGCUUAUCGGUGGUUGCUGGAGAUUUCGAUGUAAAGGAUAGGAAGAGGAAGAAGAUGUAAAGGGGUCAGAUUUUUCCUGAAACAUGAUUACUCUAGUUUAUUCUCUAUGAUCAAUAUUUUGUGAACGGCGAAGUGCGACUUUCAGUGUGCUUCCUCUGUCUCUACCGUUAUUAAUCCGGAGCUGAACUCGCCUGCUCGAAAACCCCAAACUCUUUGAUCACUUCCCCCACUCUCUUCAAUCCUCACUGCAUGUCUACUUUUUCAAAAAAAAUUCUAUGCACUGAUUAGGGUUUAACAACCGAUCAAUAUGACAACUCUUCUCUCCAACGCUGUCAAUUUGCGGGCCUCUCAAGUCUGCUAAACUCAAUUUCGUCACACAUUGCACGAUUUCCCCGAGAAAUCGAGGAAUCAGUGUAGGAUCGAAUGUCUUACUGAGAAAGCUUAGUUUCCGGAGGAGCUGAAGAAAGCAGCAGCUUCUUCAACUUACCUGUUUAGAUCUGAAGUUGGCGGUUGCUUACUGAAUUUGGCAGAUGAAAGCCUGCCAAUUCAUCAGUAUUUCCCAGGAAAAAGAUGCAUCAAAAUUUGAUUCUAACUUUACAGAUCAUAGUAUCAUCUUUUUGGUCCUAGACUACCACAACAGAAACUGAUCAGAGAUGGCGAAAUCACAACCGAAAUUAUCUCGAAACCAUAAAGACUCUACCAUUUGAUAUUAACAGCAAGCUCUAGCAGCAGAGCUUCAACCUUGUGGAUUGUCGGUUGCUUCUCUUGCUGCUUCAGUU
rnacentral:lncRNA from 1 species